CUCAGACAGGACUGUCUGUCAGCUCUGACAUCUUGAGGAUUGUCUUUGACCUCUGAAAUCUGCCUGCUUUGAGGCAGUAGUAAUUCUCAGUCUGUUCCUCCACCUAAUUCUUGCAAGGCUCUUCCCGUGUUUACAAUAUCAGAUUGUUUGAGGGCUAUGGAAGUCAGAGGACCAUCGCCAUGUGGAAGAACCCUGCCUAACUGACAUCCAGAACUCGGAGUGGCUCCAGUAGAAGAUACUACAGCCUUGACCUGGCUUUGAGAGGUUGUGCACAACUGGCAGUGUCCACACCGGAGUGAAGCUUUCUUUAAAUGCCUUCACGUUUUGGAAUACCAAGAGUGCCUUAAGCCGUUGGUGCCGAGCUUCAGGACAUGGAUCUGUGGCUGUCCUCAAGAGGAUUGCACCUGCUGAUGUGCUGAGGGUGUGAAGCAGCUGAGAAGCUUCUGGGGGACAGCCUGGGGCGCUGCAAACAUCUGCAGAGGCACCUCUGUUAUCAGCACAUAUCUCCCCUCCGCAUGGUGCCCUGCUUCCCAAAUCCAGGAUCAUCAGGAACGUGUAUUGUGUAGCUUUAGCUCUGCUUUGGGGGAAAGUUCCUCCAAAGCUGGCAUGUGGGCUGAGCACUGGAUCUGCCAGGAGCACUGGGUGGAACCUUUCCCAGCAUAAAGGAAGAUGCUUGAGGGACUCCAGAAGGUGUAUUGGGCACCUGCAGAGUUUGCCAUGGACCAAGA